rnacentral:lncRNA from 1 species
GGGAGACCACCACCACUGGAUCUCAAGGGUGGGAUUGGAUUUAUCCAUUCUCUGCUUUUGUAUUAGGAUUCCCAAGGUAUAAUCAUUUAUCAACAACAACAACAACAAAUAAACAAGACAAGACAAGACAAGACAAAGAUGACUUCCUCACAGGGCUGAAGACUGGGAUUCCAAAGCAAAGGACCCUUCUGCAGAGAGCUGAGGACAAGAGAAGGUCCAGCAUUGCAGGAAUAUUUUUCAUGGACCUUUCGGUAGUCUUGCAACUUUAUCAUUUUACAUAAAAAGGAAGAUCGCACAACCCUAUCACAGCGAUGGAGAAACACGAUGAACGAUGAAGCUGGAAAGGGAGGCUUCAGUACCAUGCUAAGGGUUUGAGAUGUGAGCCAGGCUUGGCCCCUUUAGUUUCCUAAAUAAACAUUGAUUUAUCUUUCCA